AAAUCCAUUGUAACAUGCUGCCAAGCUUGAGUAGGAGCAUGUAGUGGCUGCAACAAACCUGGGGAAGCACAAGUUUCUGCUUUACACCUGGCACAUGUAUCACAAUUUUUAACCCACUCUACUACUUCUUUAAACAUGCCAGACCAAUAAAAAUGCCUACUUAAUCUGACAGAAGUAGCAUUGAUUCCAGAAUGCCCCCUUUAAUGAGAAUUGUGGUAGAGAGCUA
rnacentral:misc_RNA from 1 species